AAAUUGAAGAGUUUGAUCAUGGCUCAGAUUGAACGCUGGCGGCAGGCCUAACACAUGCAAGUCGAGCGGUAGCACAGAGAGCUUGCUCUCGGGUGACGAGCGGCGGACGGGUGAGUAAUGUCUGGGAAACUGCCUGAUGGAGGGGGAUAACUACUGGAAACGGUAGCUAAUACCGCAUAAUGUCGCAAGACCAAAGUGGGGGACCUUCGGGCCUCAUGCCAUCAGAUGUGCCCAGAUGGGAUUAGCUAGUAGGUGGGGUAAUGGCUCACCUAGGCGACGAUCCCUAGCUGGUCUGAGAGGAUGACCAGCCACACUGGAACUGAGACACGGUCCAGACUCCUACGGGAGGCAGCAGUGGGGAAUAUUGCACAAUGGGCGCAAGCCUGAUGCAGCCAUGCCGCGUGUGUGAAGAAGGCCUUCGGGUUGUAAAGCACUUUCAGCGGGGAGGAAGGCGAUAAGGUUAAUAACCUUGGCGAUUGACGUUACCCGCAGAAGAAGCACCGGCUAACUCCGUGCCAGCAGCCGCGGUAAUACGGAGGGUGCAAGCGUUAAUCGGAAUUACUGGGCGUAAAGCGCACGCAGGCGGUCUGUCAAGUCGGAUGUGAAAUCCCCGGGCUCAACCUGGGAACUGCAUUCGAAACUGGCAGGCUAGAGUCUUGUAGAGGGGGGUAGAAUUCCAGGUGUAGCGGUGAAAUGCGUAGAGAUCUGGAGGAAUACCGGUGGCGAAGGCGGCCCCCUGGACAAAGACUGACGCUCAGGUGCGAAAGCGUGGGGAGCAAACAGGAUUAGAUACCCUGGUAGUCCACGCCGUAAACGAUGUCGAUUUGGAGGUUGUGCCCUUGAGGCGUGGCUUCCGGAGCUAACGCGUUAAAUCGACCGCCUGGGGAGUACGGCCGCAAGGUUAAAACUCAAAUGAAUUGACGGGGGCCCGCACAAGCGGUGGAGCAUGUGGUUUAAUUCGAUGCAACGCGAAGAACCUUACCUGGUCUUGACAUCCACAGAACUUUCCAGAGAUGGAUUGGUGCCUUCGGGAACUGUGAGACAGGUGCUGCAUGGCUGUCGUCAGCUCGUGUUGUGAAAUGUUGGGUUAAGUCCCGCAACGAGCGCAACCCUUAUCCUUUGUUGCCAGCGGUUAGGCCGGGAACUCAAAGGAGACUGCCAGUGAUAAACUGGAGGAAGGUGGGGAUGACGUCAAGUCAUCAUGGCCCUUACGACCAGGGCUACACACGUGCUACAAUGGCAUAUACAAAGAGAAGCGACCUCGCGAGAGCAAGCGGACCUCAUAAAGUAUGUCGUAGUCCGGAUUGGAGUCUGCAACUCGACUCCAUGAAGUCGGAAUCGCUAGUAAUCGUAGAUCAGAAUGCUACGGUGAAUACGUUCCCGGGCCUUGUACACACCGCCCGUCACACCAUGGGAGUGGGUUGCAAAAGAAGUAGGUAGCUUAACCUUCGGGAGGGCGCUUACCACUUUGUGAUUCAUGACUGGGGUGAAGUCGUAACAAGGUAACCGUAGGGGAACCUGCGGUUGGAU
rnacentral:rRNA from 1 species